rnacentral:rRNA from 1 species
UACAGAGGGGGCAAGCGUUAUUCGGAAUUACUGGGCGUAAAGGGCGCGUAGGCGGGGAGGUAAGUCGGGUGUGAAAUCCCUCGGCUCAACCGAGGAACUGCGCCCGAGACUGCCUUUCUUGAGUCCCGGAGAGGAAGGUGGAAUUCCCGGUGUAGCGGUGAAAUGUGUAGAGAUCGGGAGGAACACCGGUGGCGAAGGCGGCCUUCUGGACGGUGACUGACGCUGAGGCGCGAAAGCGUGGGGAGCAAACGGG